CAGUUCGGAUUGUAGUCUGCAACCCGACUACAUGAAGCUGGAAUCGCUAGUAAUCGCGGAUCAGAAUGCCGCGGUGAAUACGUUCCCGGGUCUUGUACACACCGCCCGUCACACCAUGGGAGUCGGAAAUGCCCGAAGUCUGUGACCCAACCAUUAAGGAGGGAGCAGCCGAAGGCAGGUCGGAUGACUGGGGUGAAGUCGUAACAAGGUACC
rnacentral:rRNA from 1 species